rnacentral:misc_RNA from 1 species
AUUUAUUCCUAAUUGGACCUUCAAAAUUACAAGUUUGGUAUGGAUAGUUGGUCAGUUCUGUGGAAACUGUAGUUCGGAAAAUUCCGGUAAAUGCACCAUUGACGAGACAGCCAGCUACAAGUGCCUCAAUUCAGAAUUUUUGAAGUCGACCUUCCUUCUGAAAAUCAAAUCAGGCGUUCAAUUUCAUCCUGAACUGAAGGGCUCAAUGGUUCCCGAAUACAAUAGUGAUAUGAGUGCUUGCUUCAUAGAUGAUUUCAAAUUCAAUCCGAUUGAGAACUUCUCGGUGUGCUGUGUUUAUUCUCGCGAAAGGGGCUGCCAUUUGGUCGUGGCUAGAAAACUUGAGAACUAUAUCCCCUGUGGUCUCUGCAGAAUGCCGGAAUUCCCAAAUAAGCCUGGAGGCAUUUGUCCUUGCAAGGAGCUAUAUGAUACAUCUCGUCCGCUUCCAUUACGAAGUUCUUCGAAAAUAAGUCACUGUAGCAUAAACGCUUUUAUAUUUGGAUUUUAUGUAAUAACUAUAAUCAAAAUAUUGUUCUUUGGUAUCUAGAUCCUAGAUUGUUGAACUAAAAUAUAUUCUUAAGUCACA